GGUUUUGCAGUUUCUGGGUCACGUUAAUGUAUGCCACCCUGCCACUCCCAGAGAAAAAACAGAGUGCAAAAGGGCAUGCAAUAAAAUGAAAAGCUUUCAAGUGAAUUCUGUGCCAGAAGGGAAGAUAUCAGUUUGACAUGCUCCAGGGCAAAGUCCUCUCU